rnacentral:rRNA from 1 species
CACGUAGGGCGCAAGCGUUGUCCGGAAUUAUUGGGCGUAAAGAGCUCGUAGGCGGUCUGUUACGUCUGCUGUGAAAACCCUGGGCUUAACCCUGGGCUUGCAGUGGAUACGGGCAGACUAGAGGCAGGUAGGGGAGACUGGAAUUCCUGGUGUAGCGGUGAAAUGCGCAGAUAUCAGGAGGAACACCGGUGGCGAAGGCGGGUCUCUGGGCCGAUACUGACGCUGAGGAGCGAAAGCGUGGGGAGCGAACAGG